AAGUCGUAACAAGGUCUCCGUUGGUGAACCAGCGGAGGGAUCAUUACAGAAGGUUACAAUACCUACAAACCACUGCGAACCGUUCCUUUUAGCUGCCUCGGCGGGCAAUCCCAGGGCGGGAUUCCAGGCCUCCUUCGGGAGGCGCUCGCCGGCGGUGCGCAACGUAUCUAGCUCUGUCUCUCAGCGGAUUUCUGAGUGAUUUUAAAAAACCUUUAAAAACUUUCAACAACGGAUCUCUUGGCUCUG
rnacentral:misc_RNA from 1 species